AUUGAACGCUGGCGGCAAGCCUAACACAUGCAAGUCGAACGAGUGGCGGACGGGUGAGUAAUGUCUGGGAAACUGCCUGAUGGAGGGGGAUAACUACUGGAAACGGUAGCUAAUACCGAAUACCAUAGGAUGUGCCCAGAUGGGAUUAGCUAGUAUGUGGGGUAAAGGCUCACCUAGGCGACGAUCCCUAGCUGGUCUGAGAGGAUGACCAGCCCGACUGGAACUGAGACACGGCCCAGACUCCUACGGUAGGCAGCAGGGGGGAAUAUUGCACAAUGGGCGCAAGCCUGAUGCAUCCAUGCCGCGUGUAUGAAGAAGGUCUUCGGAUUGUAAAGCACUUUAAGUUGGGAGGCGUUACCAACAGAAUAAGCACCGGCUAACCUCGUGCCAGCCGCCGCGGUAAUAC
rnacentral:rRNA from 1 species